AUUGAACGCUGGCGGCAGGCCUAACACAUGCAAGUCGAGCGAGCGGCGGACGGGUGAGUAAUGUAUGGGGACUGCCCGAUAGAGGGGGUUAACUACUGGAAACGGUGGCUAAUACCGCAUACUAUCGGAUAACCCAUAUGGGAUUAGCUAGUAGGUGGGGUAAAGGCUCACCUGGGCGACGAUCUCUAGCUGGUCUGUGAGGAUGAUCAGCCAAACGGGGACAGAGACACGGCCCAGACGCCUACGGAGGCAGGAGUGGAGAAUAUUGCACAAUGUGAUCAAGCCUGAUGCAGCCAUGCCGCGUGGAUGAAGAAGGCCUUAGGGUUGUAAAGUACUUACAGCGGGGAGGCGUUACCCGGAGAAGAAGCACCGGCUAACUCCGUGCCAGCAGCCGCGGUAAUUC
rnacentral:rRNA from 1 species